rnacentral:misc_RNA from 1 species
UCCGAGCGUCAUUUCAACCCUCAAGCACAGCUUGGUCUUGGGCUUCGCUGCUAACCCAGCGGGUCUUAAAAUCAGUGGCGGUGCGUCGGGCCCUGAGCGCAGUACAUCUCCUCGCUAUAGGGUCCCGGUGGAUACUGGCCAUCAACCCCCAAUUUUCUAUGGUUGACCUCGGAUCAGGUAGGGAUACCCGCUGAACUUAA